AUACGUAGGGGGCGAGCGUUGUCCGGAAUGAUUGGGCGUAAAGGGCGCGUGGGCGGCCCGGUAAGUCUGGAGUGAAAGUCCUGUUUUUAAGAUGGGAAUUGCUUUGGAUACUGUCGGGCUUGAGUGCAGGAGAGGUAAGUGGAAUUCCCAGUGUAGCGGUGAAAUGCGUAGAGAUUGGGAGGAACACCAGUGGCGAAGGCGACUUACUGGACUGUAACUGACGCUGAGGCGCGAAAGUGUGGGGAGCAAACAGGAUUAGAUACCCUGGUAGUCCACGCUGUAAACGAUGAAUGCUAGGUAUAGGGGGUAUCGACCCCUUCUGUGCCGCAGUCAACACAAUAAGCAUUCCGCCUGGGGAGUACGGCCGCAAGGUUGAAACUCAAAUGAAUUGACGGGG
rnacentral:rRNA from 1 species